UAACACGUGAGCAAUCUGCCCUUCACUUCGGGAUAACUCCGGGAAACCGGUGCUAAUACCGAAUACGACCACUUCAGGCAUCUGAUGGUGGUGGAAAGUUCCGGCGGUGGAGGAUGAGCUCGCGGCCUAUCAGCUUGUUGGUGAGGUAAUGGCCCACCAAGGCAGCGACGGGUAGCCGGCCUGAGAGGGUGACCGGCCACACUGGGACUGAGACACGGCCCAG
rnacentral:rRNA from 1 species